GCUCUGCAUCACAGGUAACGCAGUGAACUUUUUGUUUCACAGAAACAGAAAGACGAUGAGAAGACCACACACUGGAGCUGCUCUACCCAGCCAACAGGGAUGGAUGAUAUGUAUCUUAUUUCUUAUGGUCCGAUGUGAAUCAACGUGGUACAAUGACAAAUUCUCGUCCUGUUGAAGAAUCUUAACCAGGAUUUGCCGAUCUCGAUCGAGUGUGUGGACAAUGCAGCUGGAUGUCCUGGCGUAGUCAUUUAUGACGAUCAAACAUUUCCCGUUUCUUCGGAUCAGGAUGCUGCCAGUGGGACGGCCAGUGGUGAUGGACAAGGCCCUGGCAGUUCUGUGAUAGUUUUCCAAUUAGACUGUUACGCAGCUGAGGACUACACCGUGACGUUGGAGGAUCCUCCUGAGAUCGUCACUGAUUCAGACGCCAGUCUUGAGGACGAGGUCGAUGAGGACGAAUAACUACGGGAAAAACAGACAUCACCAUUAAUGUUGUUUAUUUGAAUGGACACUAUAGCAUUUAAGUAAUUAUUUAAUCCGUUAACUUAUCAACAUAUAUAAAUAUUUGAUGUUUAAUACGGAAGAUAUAACAGGUCUAAAAAUGAACCUGUGAAACUAAUACUAAUACAUACUAAAGGAAAUGUAACUGUGACCAGGGGUGAAGUUGAACAUUCAAGUUUGCGUAGGAGUGAAAUGACCCGGAUGUAUUUAAAAGGAUGCAAGGCCAUACUUACACCUGAGCAGACCCACGUAAAUAUAAAGAAAACAGGACAGCUGUUUUAUUCCAAUGACACAAUCCAGAACUGAUAUAAAUCCUCACAUGACCGUCUAAGCUCCGGAUGUCUUCUUUGACCAGUCAGGACUCUCAGUGAAAAGCAAACACGUUGAACUUGAAAUGUCGAACAAGAAAUCCACACUCGAUUAUAUCGAAGUGUCAGAGGCACCAGAAAACUCUAUAUCCCUACAUCAUGUCUGAUAUGCUUUUGUUCUCUUGCUCAUUAAAAAAAAACAUUUAAAUA